rnacentral:rRNA from 1 species
AGAGUUUGAUCCUGGCUCAGAGCGAACGCUGGCGGCAGGCUUAACACAUGCAAGUCGAACGGGCGUAGCAAUACGUCAGUGGCAGACGGGUGAGUAACGCGUGGGAACGUACCUUUUGGUUCGGAACAACCCAGGGAAACUUGGGCUAAUACCGGAUAAGCCCUUACGGGGAAAGAUUUAUCGCCGAAAGAUCGGCCCGCGUCUGAUUAGCUUGUUGGUGAGGUAACGGCUCACCAAGGCGACGAUCAGUAGCUGGUCUGAGAGGAUGAUCAGCCACAUUGGGACUGAGACACGGCCCAAACUCCUACGGGAGGCAGCAGUGGGGAAUAUUGGACAAUGGGCGCAAGCCUGAUCCAGCCAUGCCGCGUGAGUGAUGAAGGCCCUAGGGUUGUAAAGCUCUUUUGUGCGGGAAGAUAAUGACGGUACCGCAAGAAUAAGCCCCGGCUAACUUCGUGCCAGCAGCCGCGGUAAUACGAAGGGGGCUAGCGUUGCUCGGAAUCACUGGGCGUAAAGGGUGCGUAGGCGGGUCUUUAAGUCAGAGGUGAAAUCCUGGAGCUCAACUCCAGAACUGCCUUUGAUACUGAGGAUCUUGAGUUCGGGAGAGGUGAGUGGAACUGCGAGUGUAGAGGUGAAAUUCGUAGAUAUUCGCAAGAACACCAGUGGCGAAGGCGGCUCACUGGCCCGAUACUGACGCUGAGGCACGAAAGCGUGGGGAGCAAACAGGAUUAGAUACCCUGGUAGUCG